rnacentral:rRNA from 1 species
GCUUACGGCCAUACCAGCCUGGGUACGCCCGAUCUCGUCUGAUCUCGGAAGCUAAGCAGGGUCGGGCCUGGUUAGUACUUGGAUGGGAGACAGCCUGGGAAUACCAGGUGCUGUAAGCA